CUUGAUUGUUGGAGGCUUUAAAGUCGAAUCGGAGGGCGUACUCAGUGACCAUCCCUUUCGAGUUGGUGAGCAGGAGUCCGGCCCCGCUCUCCUGAGCAUUUGAAGCUCCGUCGAUGUGCAGUACCCAGGUGGACCCCGGGUCAGGCUCGGAGAUCGCAGCUCCUCCAGGGUUCUCGCCUUCCGACCCUUGGUCGGUUGUCGGGCAUUCUGCAAUAAAGUCG
rnacentral:lncRNA from 1 species